GUAAAUUCUACUGCAAUGUCUUACAAGAAAGAUAAUUGUUUUUUGGUCAGCUGGAACCAGUAGAAGUUAAAGUGAAUACUCCUUUUUAACUGUUUGGACUGAAAUUGAACCAGACGUAAUAUAUAGUUGACAACACGAGAAGAUAACUCAAAAUGUACUGGACGAAUGAACUACACUGAGUUUCACAAAGCGUAGAAAUCUCGGAAGACUUGAACUACCAUGCCACCAACCCUCCACCAUUCAAACAGAGCUGGCUUCAAGCAUGUCAAGUUUUGUAUGUGACAACUUGCUCAAGGUUGCUUCAAAAACUCACUAGUGACCAUCAGAUAUGCCCACAAACUGCAAUCAUCAGUGAAGAGAUUCAUGUUUGUUACUGAAUUUCCUUGCAUCGUUUUGAUUAAUAUUUUAAGGGAACUUGCAAUUCAGCAUCCAACAAGAAAAUUUGCAGUUCUGCAUCCAAAGGAAGCAACUCUAGUAAAUUCUAUUGCAAUGUCUUACAAGAAAGAUAAUAGUUUUUUGGUCAGCUGGAACCAGUAGAAGUUAAAAUCCAGGUGCUCUCAAUCAACAAAUGGACAAAAUAUUGCACAUGUGUUUUGAUGACUUGACCAAGACUGAAAAGCACUAAGAAACUCUAAAUCAAGAAAUGGACAACAAGAAGAGAACCAAAAGGACCUAUAGUGGUCUGAUCAUUGGCCAAAAAUGUGAAAUUAU